GAGUCUGGGGAGGAAGAGAAGAAGACCGACGGCGCGAAGGGGAGGCAGGAAGCAGUGAGGGAGAGACCGGGGACACGGGGACACGGGGGACAGAGAUGGGGGCCGGAGCCUCUGCGCGGGGAGACCGUGUCCCAGAGAGGGAGAGACGGGCAGGAAGUCCGCGGCGGAACGGCGGACCCGGGCUCGGCCACCUCGAGUACCACUGUUUCCAGGCCGUUCCUGAGGUCUGUGAAACAGUAGUCUUCGCAGGUGCCUGCCCCUCUGUUCUCGGCCCCCAAUACUAGCCCUCGGGGCAUCCCAGCCUGGAAAAAUGAGGACCCGGAGGUGGAAAGACCCCCGGCCUCGAGGAGGCGGGGCACAGCCAGGGUGGGAGAACACGGCCCACCCGGGCAACCCAGCUGUGAACCCGGGUUCACAGUGGCUUCACUUCCAUUCUUCUAGGGGUGAGUGCGGGGCGGAGCAGGAUGGCGCUGGUGACCCGGAGACUGAGGUGGGGAAGGGGAGGGAGAUACGUGGUGGGACCCUGUCCUCCUCCUCCCCACCUGCUCCGCAGUUCAACCGAGGCUCGAAAAGACAGAAUUUCUGGUAGAGCAGCAAUCACAGCCUCUCUGUGCCGCCUGGUGGCGACAAGGAAGAAAGGCAAGAGCCAGUGACCCUGUUGAGAAAGGGAAGGAAACUCGCAUAUAGGGGCAAUUGCCGCUGUGGCUCUGGAUGAGUUGGUGUCUGGCCAACAAGUGAAUCUGCCACCCCAUCUGCCCGAAGGGUACCAUCCCCCAGCUCACCCAUUCUGCCCUGGUGCCUUGGAUCCCGCCUCUCCCACAUGUCCCCCAUGAUUUUCUGCUCCUCCUGCUCCUGCUGGGCUGGGCCUGAGUCACGUCCCAGGCCGCACUCUGGGAAAGGCUGCGCGGGACCCACGGUCACAAGUGACAGGCUCGGGCUGCAGUGCCGGCUCUCCGUCUCCCAGCCAGCCAGGCUUUCCCAGGUGACAUCAGGAUAAGCCACUGGCCCCCAGCGGCCACAGUAUUCCUCUCUGAGCCCCAGGAUCCACGGGGGAAGAAAGGCUGUGAUCCCCUGGCGGGGGAGAACCACAGGAUUAAAACCAGGUGCCAUUUUCCACUCAGCUGGGGGCCAGGAAAGGAUGAAUGUGCGCCUCAAGGAUGAUGACUGCUCUGGCAAGGCUCCCUGUGGCAGAGAGGGGUGACCGUCCCUCAGCCCAGUGUCCUCAUGGCGUGAGCCCUCACAGGGUCGCUCACAUCAGGAGACCACUGGGCAGCCGAACCCGGAGGCUCCUUCCUGGACUGACCCUGCAGAGCCACAAAGAAUCACAUCAUUUUGAAAUACUCAUGGCAGAGGAAGGGGCCAUCCUCACCAGGAACCUGAAAGCUGCCGUCUCCGCCAUCCUCCAGGGCUACCCUGGCGGGCAGCCUCCAGUGACAGAUGCCAGCGCUGAGCUGCACAGACUCUGUGGCUGCCUGGAGCUGCUGCUACAGUUUGACCAGAAAGAGCAGAAGAGCCUCCUGAGGCCUCGGAAGGAUUACUGGGACUUCCUCUGCUCUGGCCUACGGCAACAGCGGGGCAGCACGGAGCCGGCCCGCUUCGUCUGCUCACAGGACAAGUUGAAGACUUCUCUAGCAAAAGGCCGUGCCUUCAUCCGCUUCUGCCUAGCCCACGGACAGCUGGCCGAGUCCCUGCAGCUCUGCCUUCUGAACCCCGAGCUCACCAGGGAAUGGUAUGGCCCCCGGAGCCCUCUGGUGUGCCCUGAACUCCGGGAAGACCUCCUGGAUUCUCUCUAUGCUCUCAAUGGAGUGACCUUCGACUUGAACCUGCGGUGGCCGGACCUAGAUGAAGCCUGGCCCAUGUUCUCAGAGUCUUGCUGCCCCAGCCGGACCCAGGGAAGAAGACCCAGAAAGACCAAAGACUCCCCAAAGCAGCUUCCUAGCACCAGGUACGGAUACCGUGAGGACUCAGCCUGUGCCCAGAAGGGGGAACACACUGCAACGCCACCUGUUAAGUGUGGUGAUGCAGCCAUGCACGGAGGAACAGGGGAGCCUGGAGACGGCUUCUCAGGAGAGAUCUCAGCCACACAUGGAAACCCCACAGCAGUCCAGCCAGAGGAGCUGCACACUAGCCAAACCAGCUGUCUGCAAGAUGCACCCAGGGAAGACUGGUUGGCCGGACUCCCCAGGUCCCAGCAACAAAGGCACCUUCUUCCCUUUUUGGAAAAGAAAAGAGAAGAUCCCAGGAGCCUCGGGUCCUCCCAGGGCAUGUGGGAACCAGCAGGGGAGGAACUUCAGCAAGCCCAGGAGAAAGGAGCCCCAAGAACUGGGAUCUGCCUGGAGAUUUCAACACCCAGCAUCCAGGGACAGGGAGAGGGGUCUGAGGGGGCUCCAAAGGAGGUGAUAGGCACAGAGGCCAAGGGCAGAAGGAUUCUUCCCAGUGCGGAGGGGACUCAUGAAGGGGGAGCAGAGCAGGGUCAUGCCCAUAGGCUACUGGUCUCCAGCCCUACAGGGACAAUAGAGGACACAAUGUCAGGGAACCAGCAGGAGUGGGAGGUGCCUAGCAUUCCAGGGGAGCCCGGGGUCCUUUGGGGCCUGGGAACAAAGGAAGACUUCACCCCAGAGAAACCACAAGAGGAAACAGGAGAGACCAGUGUGACCAGGAGGAAGGAGCAAGCAGAAGUGGCCUUGCAGGAUGUGGUCGAGAGCCUGAGAUGUGGGCUCCGGAAGACCGAGGAGCGGGCGCAGCACCAGGAGCAGCUGCUGAAGGAGAAGGAAGGGGAGCUGCGGACACUACAGGAGAUGCUCAGCAGGUGUCAGGAAGAGAGGGCCCGGCUGCAGACAGAGCUGGAGCAGAAUCAGCAGGAGGCUGAGAGGAGGGACGCCAUGUAUGAGAAGGAGCUUGGAGGGCAGCGGGACCUGGUCCACGCCAUGAAGAUGAGGGUGCUGGAACUGAUUCAGGCCCUUCUUGGGAAGUUAAUUAAGGAUGUGCUUCGGAAAAACAAGGAAGUAAGCUUGGCUUACCAAGAAAGGAGAAGAUGUGGAAUUCAGGAAACAGUAGCUCUAGCCCGGGAGAGAAGAAAAGGGAAUUUCCAAGAUGACAAGUGGCUGGCAAACCCAAGGAGCAGUACAUCCAGGCUGAAACAGAAGUACUGAGGAGGAAGGUCUCAGGGGAAAAAGAGAAUCAAUGCCAUACCUGAUAUGAUGAAGAAUUUGUUGAGGAGAGGGAAUAAUUAGGCUGUGUUAAAGGCAAGUCAUGCAAGGACUUUGCAAGGAGCAAAGAAAGGCAAUUAAAAAGUCCUGGAAAAACAAAAAAUUUCCCAGGAAAUCUUAGCUCUCCUUGAAGCAAUAUGCUUAUAUAUUUUCUAAUAAUAUAAAUACUAUUUAUUGGUUUUUUCAAUGUUAGAAUCAACCUAAAGACAAAGCACAGUAAACAAUUGUGAUUAUGGAACAAAUGUAAAUGUUAUUACCUAAACAACAUUAAGUACACAAAAUAGAAGCCAAUAGAAAUUUCUGUGAAGAUGGAAAUGUUCUAUACUCGCCCUGUCCAAUACAGCAGCUACCAGUCACAUGUAGUGACCGAGUACCUCAAAUGUGUCUGAUGUGACUGAGGAACUGAAGUUCUAAUUUUAGUUAAUUUUAGUUAAAUGAAAUAUAAAGUUAAGUAGCCCCAUGUGGCUAGUGGCUACCAUAUUGGACAUAGCAGGAAUAGAUAACAAGUAGGAGGUGGAUGAAGGAGGCCAACCGAAGAGGAAGUGAUGCUGGUAUCAUCAUAUUACAGAAUGGCAGUCAGGAUGCUAUCUGUGCUCCACAGAAUGAGUGAGAAAUAAAUGUGUGAGUAUAUUCUGUAAAACUACAGUAGUAAUAGAGGAACCAAAAAUAGGGAUAUAACCGCAUGGGGAGGAAGGAGGUGGAGUUCAGCGGGGAUGGUAAUAAACAAGCUAAGUCCUCUGACAUCAAGGUAAGGAGCUCUGUAGAUGUUCUCUCUUGAUAUAUCAAAAAAAAAAAGAGGAUAUGAGCAUAUUACUUAAGUGUGGAAGUAAUAUCAAAGAGAAAAGCGACAAGUGUAAGAGGUGGUUUGCCAUUGAGAAUGGAAGGAGUAGGGAGGGUGUCUAUUUCCUUUUGAUAUAAGUUCUUCUGCACUGUUGGAUUUUUAAAUCGUGUGUAUAUAUCAUCUUGAUAAAAAAAAAAGACUUUAAACCCACAUUCCUAAACAUCCUUUAAAAAAAAAACAACAGUAAAGAUAGUUUUGCAGGAGUAUAACAUACAUAAAUACAAGGGGGGUUGUAUCAAGUGCCAAAUAAAAGAUAAGGGCAUCGUAAGAAACUUAUGGGGGCUUCUAUGACCAGGGAACACUCCUUGGAGGAGGUGGGAUAUGAAGGUUCUUAAAUAAUGGAUCGAGGUUGUAUUGGGGGAGGGGACUGGGGUGUCACCAUCCAUCUUCCCAAAGACUGCAGACUCAUUCACCUCUUAUGUGUGUGUGUGUCUCUCAUGAUCUCUUCAUUUCUUUCCUUCUCUGUCACUAUGUCUCUCUCUCCGUCUUUCUCUGUAUUUUUCUCUCCCUCUCUGUCUCUGUCCCUGACUGUCUCCACAUCUUUUUCUCCUGGCCUUUCCCUCUCUCUCUACAUUUAUCUCCCUACCUACCACUCUGUCUCUGUCUCCCUCUCCAACCCGCUGUCUUCCUUUUCUUGUUUCUGUGUGUGUGUAUCUCUGUAUGACUCUCUCUCUCUGUCUCUCUCUCUCUCUUUCUCGCUCUUCCUUUGGUCUCUGUGUUUCUCUUUCUCGCGGUCUCGGUAUCUCUACCUGUGUCAUCUCCAUCCUCCUGGUGUGUGUGUGUGUGUGUGUGUGUGUGUGUGUGUGUGUGUGUGUGUCCCCACCUCCAUCCACUCAUCAGAGAGAAGGAUGACCUGUGGCAGAAGGUCCAGCAUCUCUCUUCCAUGGCCCCCGGAUGCUGUGUUGACUGCAGCAAGGUCUUUGGCCGGCUGUCUCGGCGGUACCCAUGCAGGCUCUGCGGAGGCCUGGUUUGCCAUGCCUGCUCUGUGG